CAAAACUGCAUUGGCACUAAUGCUCUUCAUCAGACAGGAGGGGUUUCAUGAGAUGUCUCCAAGAGCUGGGAUGUGAAAGAGAUACAAGCAAGGCCCUGCAGGAGUGAGAGAAUAUUAAGAAGAUCCUCAUCAUACACACAACACAGGACUGGGGUUAGUUUCUAGAGCAAGCCAUGGAUUUGAUAUGUGGAAAUUUUGAAGACA